rnacentral:SRP_RNA from 1 species
GCUGGGCACAGUGGUGCACACCUGUAGUCCCAGCUACUCGAGAUGCUGAGGCAGGAGGAUUGCUCAAGUCCAGGCAUUCUAGGCUAUCGUGCACUAUGCAGAUCAGAUUUCCACACUUAAUUUGGCAUGAAUAUGACUGGCAGUCGCCAGGGAACAGGGGAAACACCAGUUUGCCUAAGGAGGGGUGAAUUGGCCAAGGUCAGAAAUGGAGCAGGUCAACUCUUGUGUUAAUCAGUGGUAGGAUGAUGCCUGUGAAUAGCCACUGUACUCCAGCUUGGGCAACAGAGUGAGACUCCCUGUUUU